rnacentral:misc_RNA from 1 species
GACGAAGAACGUAGUGAAAUGCGAUAAGUAAUGUGAAUUGCAGAAUUCCGUGAAUCAUCGAAUCUUUGAACGCACAUUGCGCCCCCUGGCAUUCCGGGGGGCAUGCCUGUCCGAGCGUCAUUUCUGCCCUCAAGCCCGGCUUGUGUGUUGGGCGUGGUCCCCCCGGUUUAGGGGGGACCUGCCCGAAAGGCAGCGGCGACGUUCCGCCUAGGUCCUCGAGCGUAUGGGGCUUUGUCACCCGCUCGGGAGGGGCCUACGGGCGUUGGCCAUCCACCAUUUUUUUUUACGGUUGACCUCGGAUCAGGUAGGAGUUACCCGCUGAACUUAAGCAUAUCAAUAAGCGGAGGA